GAACUGGGAAAAGCGAGGGGGAGGCGCCCUUAGAACUCCGAAGCUCUUUUGGGGUCCUUGGGGAAACAAAGCUUUCUUUUGGUUUCGAUUGUCGAAAUUUCAAAACUGCAACCUGUCUAGGGGCUUCAGUACUGUAUACAAAAGAUGGACUCAUGCGGAUGGUUCCCCAAAGAAAACUCACAACCAUAAUUUGAUCCAGAAGAACACUUUGCACACUCUGUUUUAGUUUUAAAUUUCAAUCCCCGCCUUCGUUCUCAAAACUAUUAAUACAGUACAGCGAAGCAAAAACAUGGAUUUCCUCCAUAUCGAAGAGCCGCCGGCAAUAGGAAGAGGAAAAGGCAGCACCGUAGAUUUUAACUCUUUGAUGUUUAUGAAUCAAGCUCUUUUCCUCCUAUGUUAAACAAAGAAAAUUCAUCUUAAGAAAAACGGACGUUUCUCAAGCGCUAAUCAGCAAAAAAUAAGAAAUAUAGAGUGGAGCAGCUUCAAGGCGCCUGCAGUUUCCUUGAUGGCUUAUGUAUUUCUUCCCUGAAAAGACCUGGAACCAACUGUAUUAAUUGCACAUUUAUUAUUUUGGUGUUGAAGUGUUUAAUAGAUUUUUCUUACAAAUGUGAGAUUGGAUUUACUACAUAACAAGAGUGAACUUUUUUGUUUACAGCACUGAAGCUGCAUUCUGCUUCUAUACCAAUUGAAAUAGUUUGUACUAUUAAAUAGUUUGUACUAUUUCAA